rnacentral:lncRNA from 1 species
CUCUCCUUCCAGAAGCCCUGCGGUAUCUUUCCUAGCAGACAGCACUUAGCCAAGUGUCUUUCACUCUGCCAUUAUCACAACCUCUGCUUCAUACCUACUCCCCCAUGUCUUCCUGGGGCCUCCCAUAAAAGCUGGUGUCAUGUUAGCUUUCCCCAAGCCACCUGCUCCUCUCUGGUGCCAAGAUAGGGUGGCAGGAAGCUUAGCUUGCUGCAGGACAGGGCUCUGCUUCACCUGCUGGUGCUGUGGCAGCGUGUCAGUGGAAUUAGAGUCACCUGAGUGCUGCCUUGCUGGCAGGUCCUUUGUGUCACCAGGGCAGCAGCCCAAGGAGCAGAUGGAUGGGCUGCUCCAUGCUCCAUCCAUCUUUGCUAAUUGGGCAGUGUUUCCCCUCAGCCCUCGCCAGAACCGUCUCCUGCCGGCUCCUGAAAACCUUGGAGGGCUUUUGUCUGCACGCUGCACACCUUGCUCCAUGCCCUCGCAUCUCCCUUCGUGUGCCCCUCUUCAGAACAACCCAGACAUGCUGUUUCCUUUUCAUCUGCUGUCGUGAAAGAUGUGGUUCCUCCUUCAGCUCCUGCCCUCUCACAGUAAUCACCUCUUAGCAGAAAAGAGCCAUUUCA